UGGCCCCUGACGCUUCACGCCCUGCUUUCCGGAAGCCUCAAAGCUUAAUCGCCCUCUCCCUCUGAUCCACCCUUUUCGGGACCGCCUCCUCCGACUCGCCCGGCACAGCCUGAUGACCGGUUUUGUCUCUUCCGCUUCCGUUUCCGUAUACUGGGGGUCUCCCCGAAGGCGAAGCGUGGUGAGGUCGGAACCUUUGUGCAGCCGGAACUAAGGUGCGCUACUCCGCUGGCAGCCGGAGGACUGCAUAAACAGGAAUACCAGUUUUCUUCUAGCAGUUGAUCACUGAGGUUCCGGUGGGGCAUUGGCGAGUGAGCUCUUCAGCUUCGUUUCCUGUUAUGCACCGACCGAAUUUUCGACCACCAACUCCUCCGUACCCCAGCCCGGGGAUAGGAGGUUGGGGUGGCGGAAACAACUUCCGGGGUACCCUGGGCGGGGGGCCGCGGCCGCCCUCCCCGCGGGACGGGUACGGGAGUCCGCACCACACUCCGCCCUGCGGGCCCCGGGCUAGGCCGUACGGGAGCAGCCACUCUCCGCGGCAAGGCGGCAGCUUCUCGGGGGCCCGCUUCGGGUCUCCGUCCCCGGGCGGCUACCCAGGCUCCUACUCCAGGUCCCCCGCGGGGUCCCAGCAUCAGUUCGGCUACUCCCCAGGGCAGCAGCAGACCUACCCCCAGGGUUCUCCAAGGACAUCUACACCAUUUGGAUCAGGGCGUGGUAGAGAAAAAAGAAUGUCUAAUGAGUUGGAAAGUUAUUUUAAGCCUUCAAUGCUUGAAGACCCUUGGGCUGGCCUAGAACCAGUAUCUGUAGUGGAUAUAAGCCAACAGUACAGCAAUACGCAAACAUUCACAGGCAAAAAAGGAAGAUACUUUUCUUAACAUUUCUGAAAUUCAACUGGAAGCCUCAUGUGUCAGGAACAUCUUGGACAGAACUUUUACUUGUGAAAAUGAGUUGAACCCAAAGAUGAUGACUUUGAAUAAUGAUUAGCAGACCCUUGGUAUAUCUCUAACUUUAUCAAGUGUUGAUAUUAGAGGAAAUGAUAGGGUAAUUUACAGUAUUUAGCUAUCUGGGAGUGUGUACCACGGAACACAGUUUUCAUAUUUAACAUUUCCAAGAUAACAAACAUUUGUUUUUUUCAGUGUUUUACAAUAAAACAUUUUUGUCUUCCUAAUUGUGAUUUUGUUGAUAUGUAGAAUUGCUAAAAUAAUGCUUCAUAAUCACUUAGAAUUUGAGGGUGUUUUACAGACUAUUUUUUUAACGAAAUAGAUAAGCUACCCUAGACAGUUCUCUAUAUAUUUAUUAAUAGAAAGUUGUUCUACAUUCAUUUUUUUGCAUUUCUGUUAAAAUAUUGAAACAAAAAAAAUCACUGGAAAUCACUUAACAUUACUUAUACUUUUUACUUAUUUAACCACAAAAGGCCAGGAUAAGAAAUAAGAAAUGUGUGUGUGUGUGUGUGUGUGUGUGUGUGUGUGUGUGUGUGUGUGUGUGUAUACAUAUAUAUAUAUAUAUAUAUAUAUAUAUAUAUAUAUAUAUGCAGUUCAGUGUUCUAUCAAAGUUUCUCUAUAUUUUGAGCAUUAUAGACAUACUUUCUCUUGAAGCCAAAGAAGGUGGUAUGUUGAUUUCUUGUCAUUGUGAUAAAAUGCCAGGGGGCAUUUUGGGUCAUAGUUUCUAAGGUUCCAGUAGAAGUUCAGCUGAAUCCAUUAGUUAGUCUUGAGGUGAGCCAAAAUAUCUGUAGAUAAGGCAGAAGCUGCUCACCCUUGGCUACCAAGGUAUAGAAAGACAGAAGGGGCCAGAGACAAUUGGAGCCUUUUCUAGAGCACCUUCGCCUUUUUCUACUUCCCAAUAAUAGCAUCAUGUGAACCAUUGAGGUAUUAAUCCACUUAAGAGGUUAACACCCUGACAAUCUAAUCACUUCCCAAUAAUCAGACAAGCCUUUAACAUAUGACCCAUUUGGGAAGACACUUCACAUCCAUACCACAACAAAUGGCUAAUAGUAAUGGCUCAGAUCA
rnacentral:lncRNA from 1 species